rnacentral:rRNA from 1 species
CAGUCGCCACGGGAAUACAGAGGGUGCAAGCGUUAAUCGGAAUUACUGGGCGUAAAGCGCGCGUAGGUGGUUUGUUAAGUCGGAUGUGAAAUCCCCGGGCUCAACCUGGGAACUGCAUCCGAAACUGGCAAGCUAGAGUAUGGUAGAGGGUAGUGGAAUUUCCUGUGUAGCGGUGAAAUGCGUAGAUAUAGGAAGGAACACCAGUGGCGAAGGCGACUACCUGGACUGAUACUGACACUGAGGUGCGAAAGCGUGGGGAGCAAACAGGAUUAGAUACCCCGGUAGUCCCUGUCUCUUAUAC